rnacentral:lncRNA from 1 species
ACCUGAGCUUGCAUUCUACCUCAAAAGCAGUUGGGGAAGCCAGAGCCAAGCCCCUCUCCACCUACGUCCUGAAUUUCCCUCAGUCUAAGGCUGGGGGUGAGGCCGAGGACCUCUAAAUCCGCAAACACACCAAAAUACCCACCCAUACGCAUACACACCCACACUCUGUUCCCCCUCUGAAACCUGGAAUCACUCCUGCCUGCCCCACCCAGCUCCACCCACCCUGGCUAGGCAGGUUCUGUAGAGACCUGCUCCGCUGUCUCUCUGGCACCCCCACCCCCAUCCCAGCUCCCAGAAGGUACCUGCCCCCCAACACAGCACACAAAAGCAGACACGUGUGCACAUUCAUGUCCCAUAGCACCCCAUUCCCUAGCCUUCCCCAGACCCAUUCCUAGUCCGUCUUGAAGAGAACACUGGGGGUGGAAAGGCUGCAGGAGAAAAGGUGAGUAAUGCCCCUGGCAUCUGUCCCAGGUGGGGGCCGGCGGGAAGACGGGACACUAAGCUGGUGGGAAGGCAACCAGGGCUUCUGGAUUCUCCAUUUAAUUUUUACCAACAGGCAGGCCCCACAAUUUCCACCACCAGGCUUUGAGCUGCUUCCUCCCUUGGCCUAGGCAGAGAACUGGCCCGUACCUGCCCACCAGAAAACAGGGGAAUUACUCAAGUGCAAGAUUAAAGGCAAUAAUGAGCAAUCAGACCGAACUGGAAUGACAGUAGGGGAAGGUGAAGAGACUUUGGGAAAAGGAAGAGCACUGAAGUCAGACCUGGCACAGCCUUUUACGAGCUAUGUAAUCUCAGCUAACAGGGCAUCUCCUGCAGGAACCUUCCCUGGCACCUCACCCCAGGGCCAAGCACUCUUCCUCUAUGCUCCAGUGGCCUCCUGAACACACCUCCACACAGCACUCACUGGGCUGCAGUGAAUCAACAUGUUUUCACAUGUCUCCCCUGGGAAAACAUCUUAUUUGCCCCUCCAUCCCCUGUGCUUCACACUGUGCCUGGCAGAUAGGAGAGAGUGCCUAAUGUGGUCGGCCAAAGGAAGAUCAGAACCAAAGCCUAGUUCUCCUAUCCCGACUCCGACCUCUCUCCCUUAAUGAUGAUUAUCCCUCAGAAUCCGAACCAUCCAGCUAACAUUUACUAUGUGCCAGGAACUGUGCAACGUGCUUUCUCUAUUAUUUCAUUUAAUCCUCAUAACCCCAAGAAGUAGGGCCUAUUAUUAAUUCCAUUUUACAGGUGAGGCUUCAAAAAGUUACCAGUUUUGUCUGAUGUCACGGAAUUAGACAGUGGCAAAGCCAGAAUUUAAAAGCAAACCAGGGAAGAAAGCCACUUGGUGGGGGACCAGGGAUUCCUUGUGGAAGGGCUCAGUCUAGGCUUGGAGGAUGUGCCUUAAGACACCUAAGAGGCUGGGGAAUGGGGUUUAUUACUUGCCCAGAUCACACCACUGUUAAGUACUAAUUCCAACCAACUCUGACUCCUUUCUCUGGCCUCACAAUGUGAUGAACACUUGAGGGAAGGAGAAGACUGGAGUUCCCUAAAACUCAGAGGGGAUCAGAUCUCUUCCUUUUCCCUGCCAAAGCUUCUGUUAGUCAAGUUCCCUCCCCAUUAACUGGAAGGACCUGGAAACCAGAUGAGCAGAUAAAAAACUGUCCUGCUCUAGGGCCAGGGAAGGGGGGAUAUUUCCUCAGAUCUAAAAGGAUCAGGAGGAGAGGCAAACACACCAGAGAGGCCUGCCCCGGAAGAAUUAGAGGAAAUAGAAGUCAGGAGCAAGACAAUGGGUGAGGAGGGGCCAACGUGGCCACUGACUCCCAAUCUGGAAGUACUUUCAGAAAUGGCAUUUCCUAUUAUCUGACCACAAUUCCUCCUCUUUGGAAGAGAGCCCCCACCAGCAUAAUAUAUCAUGCAUGUGAUCAGCGUAUACAGAGCAAACAAGGGACCCCAGAGGGCCAGGGCACACCAUCUUAGAUGCAAGUGCCUUACUAGCCCUGGGAGCCCUAACUAUCAGACAGGUGUUGGGUUUGGGGGAAUGAUCCAUUAAAAAAAAAAAAAGGUCUUUUAAA